AGGAAAGGUGACAGUCUUCUCCAGGACUAGUAGAGAGACUCUGGAGCCAAGGAAGCAUUUGAACAGUUUUACUGUUCUUCAGGCAGAAGUUGGGAGUAGAGCUGGGGCUUCUGCUAUGGUGUGUAGGUGUGAAAGGGAUGAGUUUCUGGAGGAGCCUGCAGUGGUUGAUCUAGAUGGGAGCACCAUGGAGGCAACAGGAAGUGAAAACAGGCAACACAAGGAGUCUAAACAUUGGUUGGCAUCCACCCAAAUCAACAUCUGAUCUUGAAUCCUACCAGAACCAUAUUCUGAUUUACACCAGCAAGCGUUUUUCCAUUUCACCACCAGUCUAUGAAGGCAGGACACUGCUGGGAGCACUAGAUUACAACUUCUGCAAGGACAGACCAGCCAGGCAGAACGCAGAUGGAACCAAGAUACUAGGCAGACAUAUGGAUAAAUUCUGGAUCUCCAAUGCAAGAUUUUGAGGAAGCGGUUGGAAUAUAGUGGAGGGGAUGCCAUGGAAAAGAACCCUAAUGCCCAAAGACCCGAGAAGACUUGGACUCCUACCCCGUAUUCCUCAACCAACAACUGAGGAACGUGUGCAAUCACAAGUGAGAAGAGGCCUAGCGUUGGGUGAACCUCGAGACCAUGCAGGAGCUCCAGAAACCUCAUCAAGCUCAGCAACCCUUCAAGGCCCUGAUUGUGCAAGACCUUUGCUGCUGGACCUCUCUAAAGAACCUUCUGAAGCCUCCACUAUCAAGCAACUAGGGGAAAACCUCCCUGCCUGCCUCCCAGUCCCAACCCCAAAACUGAUGCAGCACUUUCUUCAUGUACCAGGCCACACACACACAGACUGAUGACAGGAGCAUACACAUGGCUCUAUGUCUGGCUGGCAUAGUGAAGGAAUGGGAUGAAAUGAGAAUUGAUAUAACGCUGUGCAGAGGGCCUACACUGCCAGAUUAAUUUCAUAGGUUUACUUUGCUCUGUAAACAUGGCCUUACUUUGGAGAGUACAUUGCUUAAUUAAAGGCCCACCGUCAUCUCAUGAUGACCCCGUUCAAUUUGCCAAGCAGCUCCUCCUAAAAGUCUCUUCACAAAACGUGACAUCACACAUCCCAACUUGGCAACAAAUCAUUGGUUUAGAAGACAAAAUAAGAGUGACAAUGUGAUUCUAGCCUAUUGAAACAACACAGAGCAGACCAUCCCCCUCCCCAAACACCUUGCUUCACACCUGAACCUUAUUUUGAUUUAGAUGGUGGUCGGUGGUGUACAUGUGAGGUCAUUUGAAUGGGGUGAUCAUGUGAUGACAGUGGGCCUUUAAACAGUUAAUUCAGAUUAAAUCUAUAGAGGUCUUUACACACCGAGAUCCAUCUAUCUAUGCUGCUACGUCUUUCCCAGACCACCUGUCAACCAUAGCUCUAUGAAAAGAUAUUGUUGGCCUCUUUACCCUCCUCUAAUCCUCCCAUCCCUGUGUGCCACUACCUGCCUCUAGGGGUGUAUAUUAUGUCUGGGCUGACACAUAUUUGAUUUCUUGUUAGAUGACACAAGGUUCUGGAUCAUAGGUAUUUUUGAUCUGGUUAUAUUCUGAGAUUCUGUUUUAGCCAUUUAUCAGUUGACCAUUUUCCUUGAUAGCUAAGGGUUAACUUGCGUUUGAUCAUGUUCACCUUGCAUCUUAGCUCCUUAAAGCUGGAAUCAGCGAGUCGUCUGCAACCCCCAGGACGCACCUCUUUUGAUAUUUCAUUUGUAACUAAACCCAACACUGACCUCUUUUUCUCACUUCUCUUUUUGUGUCGAGUUGAUCCAGAUCCAAUACUAAUGAUGAUGAUGCUUGUUCAGUAGAACCUUUCUAAAAACGCUGUCCCUGCUACCUGUUUAUCUACAACUAGCUAGCAGCUGACUACUCUGCUGUUUACAUUCUAGCUCUCUCACGCAAGCUCAUGUAUGCUCCCUCAUGCCCAAGCACUCUCUCUCGCAUCUAUGCGCUCUCCCACUCUCACACAACUAUAGAUUGUGUAUAUAUAAACACAAGAAGCGGGGGGAAGCCUGGGCUCAUGGACAACUAGCUGAUUACCACUUUAAAUAUGUCAUUGUGUUCAGUUGUCUAGAGGGUAGUUAUGUGUUUUAUAUCCCAGUUCUCUGGAAUAUCGGUACCAUAACCGCAUCACUUCACGUCUCUGUCUUAUUUCACUGGACAUCCCAUUUCCCCUUGAAUAGCACGGCUUGGAGUAAUUUACCUGCAUAGACCUGGCACAAGUCAUUGGUGGGUUGACAUUUGAACCGUACAAUUAUGUCAAUGGAAACCAAAUUUCAAUAUAGACAAACGUUGUCUAAAAUGUGUAAAAUAGUGCAUUUUGAAACUUUAUAUCCAGAAACUAAUAUACAAGCAAACUAAUGUAAAAAUAUUAUUUAUUCAAGAACACUUUCAGAUGUAUAAAUAAAAUCUGACAUUUUCCCAUUUAAACUUUGUUGUGCCGGGAGAAAGUGCAGUGAUGAAACUUUUGGGUGAGAAAUAAACAACCUUUAGAAUCUUUGAUAUGACAUGGUGUGCCCAGUAAGAAGGUUCUUGAUGUCCUGAAGGUGCACCUGGCAGGUGUUUGUGUGUUGAAAAUGCAAACUGAGGGAGAACUUGUGUUCUGUUCACAGCAAGUGACAUGUAGCCAUAUUAAUGUCAUGCCAUUAAGUGUCUGGCAACAGAUACUCUUUGGGCAUAACGUUAGUAUGUCAUCAUGCCAAACGCUUUGAGAAUCCUAGCGCCCAGGGUGGAACCCGGUGUACUGUGAAUGAGGAUCAGGGAAAAUAGUGUCCCUGAUUCUCCAAACACAGAGACUGGGGAUGACAACUCGGUUCCCUGCACCAAGGGAACAAAGCUGCCACAUCACAAACUGUGUAGACAGCAUGCCGGUACUCCCGGGUGUCAUCUCCAGCCUCUGCUGCAUCAGCCACUGUCAACACUUCAACCCUAUUUCACCUCAUCACUCCACAUUAUGUGUGUCCACUGGUCAUUAUGUGUGUCCACUGGUCAUUAUGUGUGUCCACUGUUCAUUAUGUGUGUCCCCUGGU